GGUAAGAUGGCUGAGUGUGCAAGCGGCAGGUUGUAGCCCUGCGAAGGGGGGUUAGAUUCCCCUUCUUUCC
rnacentral:tRNA from 1 species